rnacentral:rRNA from 1 species
GACGAACGCUGGCGGCGUGCUUAACACAUGCAAGUCGAACGGAAAGGCCCUGCUUUUGUGGGGUGCUCGAGUGGCGAACGGGUGAGUAACACGAGAGUAACCUGCCCUUGACUUUGGCAUAUCUUCAGGAAACUGGGGCUAAUACCGGAUAGGAGCACCUGCUGCAGGGUGGGGGUUGGAACGUUUCGGCGGAUGGGGAUGGACUGGCGGGUGAUCAGUUUGUUGGUGGGGUAGUGGCUGACCAAGGCAUGGACGGGUAGCCGGCCUGAGAGCGUGACCGGCGACAUUGGGACUGCGAUACGGCCCAGACGCGUACGGGAGGCAGCGGUGGGGAAUCUUGCCCAGUGGGCGGGCGUCUGAUGCAGCGGCGCCGCGUGCGGGAUGACGGCCUUCGGGUUGUAAACCGCUUUCGCCUGUGACGAAGCGUGAGUGACGGUAAUGGGUGAAGAAGCACCGGCUAACUACGUG